rnacentral:tRNA from 1 species
UGGCACAAUGGUUAAGUUUUUGGCUGCUAACCAAAAGGUUGGCAGUUCGAACCUGCC